UGGGGAAUUUUGGACAAUGGGCGAAAGCCUGAUCCAGCAAUGCCGCGUGUGUGAAGAAGGCCUUCGGGUUGUAAAGCACUUUUGUCCGGAAAGAAAUCCUUGGCUCUAAUACAGUCGGGGGAUGACGGUACCGGAAGAAUAAGCACCGGCUAACUACGUGCCAGCAGCCGCGGUAAUACGUAGGGUGCAAGCGUUAAUCGGAAUUACUGGGCGUAAAGCGUGCGCAGGCGGUUUGCUAAGACCGAUGUGAAAUCCCCGGGCUCAACCUGGGAACUGCAUUGGUGACUGGCAGGCUAGAGUAUGGCAGGAGGGGGGUAGAAUUCCACGUGUAGCAGUGAAAUGCGUAGAGAUGUGGAGGAAUACCGAUGGCGAAGGCAGCCCCCUGGGCCAAUACUGACGCUCAUGCACGAAAGCGUGGGGAGCAAACAGGAUUAGAUACCCUGGUAGUCCACGCCCUAAACGAUGUCAACUAGUUGUUGGGGAUUCAUUUCCUUAGUAACGUAGCUAACGCGUGAAGUUGACCGCCUGGGGAGUACGGUCGCAAGAUUAAAACUCAAAGGAAUUGACGGGGUCAUAGCUG
rnacentral:rRNA from 1 species